UUCAAUACUCUCCUCCUCUGAAAUAUUCAUGGUCUGCAUGUUUGUGUCCCCCCACUCCCAAAUUCAUAUAUUCAUUUAACCUCCAACAGGAUGAUGUUAAGAAGUGGAGUCUUUGGGAGUUAAUAGAUUUAGGUGAGGUCUAGGGGGUGGUGUGCUUACAAAUGAGUAAUGUACUUACAAAUAAGUACAUUAAUCCCAUCAUGGGGGAUUAAUGUACUUAUUUGUAAGAAGAGAAUAGGCCUAGAACUGGCUCUCUUGGCCACAUGUGGUUGCAACUAUGGCUCACUUGGCCACAUGUGGGUGCAACUAGAAGAUGACCAUUAGAAAACCUGGAAGCUGUCCUCACCAGACACCAGACUACCUGAUGUCUUGAUUUUGGACUUCACAGCCUCCACCGUGAGAAAUAAAUGUUUGUUGUGCAAGCUACCCAGUUUAUGAUAUUUUUUUGAUAGCAGGCUGAGCUGCCUAAGACAGUAUCCUUCCUUCCCCUAAUCACUGAACUGCAAGUACUCUCUCUUUUCCAAGAAUUGCCUGCACCUGCACUGUUCUGAUUCCAGUGUGUCUUUCCCCUCGUCUCAUUCCAGAUAAACAUGAGAAUCAUGUACAGGGUCUUCUGCUCCAAGCCCUCCUUUCAAUGAUGCACAGAACAAUGAAGAUCUGAGGGACAACCUGUAGGAGAACUGAAGCCAGAGUCUGUGAUGCACUCUCCAGACAGACUGGCGAGAACAGUUUAAAGUAGUAUAGUGUCUGAGCUGGGAUUUAGAGGAACUUGUGGUGAAAAGGGACACAGAUUGUCUCCAGAGACCAGGCCUGCUACAGCAAAUUUCUAGUUGGAAAACAAGAAAGAUCUUGGAGGAAAAGAAUAUACAGGCCCCAUGGACACUGGAAUUACUCAGAUACCAAAAUACCUGGUCACAGCAAAGAGGACUAAAAGGACUCUGAAAUGUGAGCAACAUCUAGGACAUGAUUCCAUGUAUUGGUACAGACAGAAAGCUGAGAAAUCCCUGGAGUUAAUGUUUUACUACAACUAUAAGGCACUCAUUGAAAUCCAGACUGUGCCAAAUCAUUUCACACCCAAAUGGCCUGACAGCUCUUGCUUCUGCCUUCACGUGGUCACGGUGCAGCUAGAAGACUCAGCUCUGUAUCUCUGCACCAGAAGUCAAGACACAACGUGACCGCCUCCCUGUGGACCAACCUCCUGGGUCUAGUCAGGAAGCUGUGGGGGCAACACAUCCAGCUGAGCCUCAAUACUUGAGUCAGCAUUCUGCAAGACCUCAGCAGAAAUCUCAGGCCAUCGUACUGUCAUUUAUUGGAUGUGGCAAUGCCACAUUGCCCAGACUCCAGCAGCCUGUGGCCUGACUUUGUCUUGAACAAGACUGUGCCUGAACUUGAAUGUAGGACAGGUGCUGCCAAGUUCAAGUUGUUCCAAGUAUCUUCCAGCUGGCUUGUGCCUCUGGGAAAUCUUGUGUGAAGCAUUUACCACUCUGGCCACACCAAUCUGC